UCCAGACUCCUACGGGAGGCAGCAGUCGGGAAUAUUGCGCAAUGGCGGAAACUCUGACGCAGUGACGCCGCGUAUAGGAAGAAGGUUUUCGGAUUGUAAACUAUUGUCGUGAGGGAAGAAAUUGACAGUACCUCAGGAGGAAGCUCCGGCUAACUAUGUGCCAGCAGCCGCGGUAAUACAUAGGGGGCAAGCGUUAUCCGGAUUUACUGGGUGUAAAGGGAGCGUAGACGGCAGCACAAGUCUGGAGUGAAAUGCCGGGGCUUAACCCCGGAACUGCUUUGGAAACUGUGCAGCUAGAGUGCAGGAGAGGUAAGUGGAAUUCCUAGUGUAGCGGUGAAAUGCGUAGAUAUUAGGAGGAACACCAGUGGCGAAGGCGGCUUACUGGACUGUAACUGACGUUGAGGCUCGAAAGCGUGGGGAGCAAACAGGAUUAGAUACCCGCGUAUG
rnacentral:rRNA from 1 species